rnacentral:misc_RNA from 1 species
CCCCUGUGAGCGCAAUCAGCGGU